rnacentral:rRNA from 1 species
AUUGAACGCUGGCGGAAUGCUUUACACAUGCAAGUCGAGCGGCAGCGCGGGGCAACCUGGCGGCGAGCGGCGAACGGGUGAGUAAUGCAUCGGAACAUGUCCAGUCGUGGGGGAUAGCCCGCCGAAAGGCGGAUUAAUACCGCAUACGCCCGGGAGGGGAAAGCGGGGGACCUGCAAGGGCCUCGCGCGAUUGGGUUGGCCGAUGUCCGAUUAGCUAGUUGGUGGGGUAAAGGCCCACCAAGGCGAUGAUCGGUAGCUGGUCUGAGAGGAUGAUCAGCCACACUGGGACUGAGACACGGCCCAGACUCCUACGGGAGGCAGCAGUGGGGAAUUUUGGACAAUGGGGGCAACCCUGAUCCAGCCAUUCCGCGUGAGUGAAGAAGGCCUUCGGGUUGUAAAGCUCUUUUGUCCGGGGCGAAACGGUUGUGGUGAAUAUCCACGACUACUGACGGUACCGGAAGAAUAAGCACCGGCUAACUCUGUGCCAGCAGCCGCUGUAAAAC